GGGAGGAGCCAGAGGCUCCUCAAUUGCCCUUGUGCUUAAUGUCUAGCAAUAAGACAAAGUUGGGGUUGGCCCUCACUUUGGCUUGAAGAUAAUUUCAGACUGAGAUGUCCCUUUAUGAAAUGGAUGGGCUGGCAGAGCUGAAGCUGGGCAUUAAGAGCAGAGCAUCGGAGAAGAAGCAGCCUCAUUUGCUUCUGGUGUCAUCGUAGGUGUCCACCUUUGGCUUUGGGGGUACUUAUU
rnacentral:lncRNA from 1 species